rnacentral:rRNA from 1 species
GACGAACGCUGGCGGCGUGCUUAAUACGUGCAAGUCAACGACUUUUAGAGUAGCAAUAUUUUAAAAGGAGUGGCGCACGGGUGAGUAACACGUAGGUAAUCUGCCUUCAGGACUGACACAACUCGUCGAAAGACGGGCUAAUAUCAGAUAAUGCAGCGGCUCCGCAUGGAGACAGUUGUUAAAGUACAAGCGCCUGAAGAUGAGCCUGCGGUCCAUUAGCUAGUUGGUAGAGUAACAGCCUACCAAGGCAACGAUGGAUAGCUGGUCUGAGAGGAUGAUCAGCCACACUGGAACUGAGACACGGUCCAGACUCCUACGGGAGGCAGCAGUAAGGAAUAUUGCUCAAUGGCCGAAAGGCUGAAGCAGCAACGCCGCGUGAAGGAUGAAUGGCCUUUGGCCUGUAAACUUCUGUAAAAAGGGAAAACAAUCAGGCAUGUCCUGAUUUGAUUGUACCUUUGAAGUAAGCCCCGGACUAACUACGUGCCAG